CGUCUCCUCCAUCCUCCUUCUUUGGUGGAAUUCAGCGCAAUCCGUACGGGUUGCGUUUUUUUUU
rnacentral:ncRNA from 1 species